CAGACAGUUAGUUUUAUAAGUCUUACCUACUGCACCUUUAAGUUCACAGAUUCUGUAAAGUGGUUAAUGAUGAUGUAUGAUGUGACUUGGUUGGAUGAUGUGGUGGCUCAUUCACUAACUCAACAUGGGUUGAAACUACGUGUUGAUA